rnacentral:rRNA from 1 species
CCUACGGGGGGCUGCGGUCGAGAAUCUUCGGCAAUGGGCGCAAGCCUGACCGAGCGACGCCGCGUGCGGGAUGAAGGUCUUCGGAUUGUAAACCGCUGUCGGAGGGGAUGAAAUGCAUGGGGGUACUCCCCUGUGUUUGACAGAGCCUCGGAGGAAGCACGGGCUAAGUUCGUGCCAGCAGCCGCGGUAAUACGAACUGUGCGAACGUUAUUCGGAAUCACGGGGCUUAAAGGGGUCGCAGGUCAGGUGUGAAAUCCCCCGGCUCAACCGGGGAACUGCGCUUGAAACUGGGGUGCUCGAGUGAGGUAGGGGUGUAGGGAACUUCCGGUGGAGCGGUGAAAUGUGUAGAUAUCGGAAGGAACGCCGGCGGCGAAAGCGGUACACUGGGCCUUGUCUGACGCUGAGGCACGAAAGCUAGGGGAGUGAACGGGAUUAGAUACCCCUGUAGUC